rnacentral:rRNA from 1 species
AACGAACGCUGGCGGCAUGCCUAACACAUGCAAGUCGAACGAGACCUUCGGGUCUAGUGGCGCACGGGUGCGUAACGCGUGGGAAUCUGCCCUUGGGUCCGGAAUAACAGUUAGAAAUGACUGCUAAUACCGGAUGAUGACUUCGGUCCAAAGAUUUAUCGCCCAGGGAUGAGCCCGCGUCGGAUUAGCUAGUUGGUGAGGUAAAAGCUCACCAAGGCGACGAUCCGUAGCUGGUCUGAGAGGAUGAUCAGCCACACUGGGACUGAGACACGGUCCAGACUCCUACGGGAGGCAGCAGUGGGGAAUAUUGGACAAUGGGCGAAAGCCUGAUCCAGCAAUGCCGCGUGAGUGAUGAAGGCCUUAGGGUUGUAAAGCUCUUUUACCCGGGAUGAUAAUGGCAGUACCGGGAGAAUAAGCCCCGGCUAACUCCGUGCCAGCCGCCGCUGUAAUAC